rnacentral:rRNA from 1 species
CUGAACUUAAGCAUAUCAUAGCGGAGGA